UACGUAGGGGGCAAGCGUUGUCCGGAAUCAUUGGGCGUAAAGCGCGUGUAGGCGGCCAGGUAAGUCCGUUCUGAAAGCCCGGGGCUCAACCUGGGAACCGCGCUUGAGACUGGCAUGCUCGAGUUCGGGAGAGGAUGGUGGAAUUCCCAGUGUAGAGGUGAAAUUCGUAGAUAUUGGGAAGAACACCGAUGGCGAAGGCAGCCAUCUGGACCGACACUGACGCUGAGGCGCGAAAGCGUGGGGAGCAAACAGG
rnacentral:rRNA from 1 species